rnacentral:lncRNA from 1 species
AUAUAAGAGAUGCACCGGUUAUUUGAGCCAGCAACUCUUAAUCAAAAUUUUCUUCACAAAAUUUCUUCACUUAAAACACAAAACCUUCAUCAAACUUCAUUUAUUUGGUAAAAAAAUCUUCAUUUCUUAUCAGUUUUUAUCAUGAUAUUAAUUUUUAGUGGUUACUAAUGUUAUUUAUUUUCUAUACUAUUUGCAGUUGUGUUAUUUGUCGCCUCCUGUGGUCAGCUAUUGCC